UUUAAACUUAAAAAGCAAUUGUUGUGGGUCGGCUUACAAACUUGAUGUUUGCGCUUGGUAAGAUUAUUGUAGGACAAAGGAAGGUAGGCUUGAAACAAAGAAAUGAAAAUUUGGGCAGCAAACAAAAACUAAAUUUCAAAACUAGCUCUCUCUUUUUUUUUUCAAUUUUUUUUUUCAAUUUUUUUUUUCACAACUUGAUAUCCAAUCUUUUAAGUUUAAAUGGAAACUAGAUUUUUUUUUGAAUUUUUUUUGAAUUUUUUUUCGAGUUUUUUUUUGAGAAACUACUAUACCGUAAUGCCGACAAUGUCGAUUCUUACUCCAAAUUCGCUAGCUC
rnacentral:lncRNA from 1 species